UACGUAGGGUGCAAGCGUUAAUCGGAAUUACUGGGCGUAAAGCGUGCGCAGGCGGUUAUGUAAGACCGGUGUGAAAUCCCCGGGCUCAACCUGGGAACUGCAUUUGAGACUGCAUAGCUAGAGUACGGUAGAGGGGGAUGGAAUUCCGCGUGUAGCAGUGAAAUGCGUAGAUAUGCGGAGGAACACCGAUGGCGAAGGCAAUCCCCUGGACCUGUACUGACGCUCAUGCACGAAAGCGUGGGGAGCAAACAGG
rnacentral:rRNA from 1 species